rnacentral:tRNA from 1 species
AUUUAUAUAGUUUAAUUAAAACCUUACAUUUUCAAUGUAAAAAUAAAAAUUUUUUAUAAAUA